ACUCCAUCCGAUCUGACCCCUCACCUCCGUCCGAUCUCAAGCCUCCAUCUCUCAAGCCCUCACCCUCCAUCUCCGACCUCAACCCUCACCCUCCAUCCGAUCUCAACCUCUUUCUCAGGAAAUUGCUGCUGCUUGCUCUUUGUCCGUCAGUUGAGUUUACUCUCCAGUGAAGGUUAAGAUCAAGAGAAAACCCUAAAUUUCACCCACUUUUUUUUUUUAAUUUUUUUUCUUUCUUCAGAGAAACCCAUUUGAAUAAGUGGUUUUGUUUUUAUCCUUCCAUAAAAAACUCCGCAGACGCCGACGCCGAGAGACCAGCCCAGCGCCGACGACCCCAACACUGACAAGGCCGAACCCAACUCAGCCUGCCGAAUUCUCAUACCCAUCAGCGACCCAUACCCAACGCCGUCGAGCCCAUCGCCGACAAGGCUGGUUCACAAGGCUUUCGGUGGUAAAAAGUGUUGCAGGAGUUGUUGUGAUCCUUGAGGUGCAAAGAAGUGCUAGAUCAGAAGCCAGAAAGGAGGAAGUACGCAAACAAGAACUUGAGGUGAUAUGGCAAUACUCAUCUUUGUUAGUGAAACUUAAUCCAUAUGUUUAGUUCAUUUUGUCUAAUGAGAUAUCUGGAGGUCUUUCAAGAGACGGUCAUGCAUCCAAUAAAAUAUAUAUUGACAGGCUUCUUGAGAUGUCAUUAGAUAUUUUUAGUAGA